GAUGAACGCUGGCGGCGUGCCUAAUACAUGCAAGUCGAGCGAACGGACGAGAAGCUUGCUUCUCUGAUGUUAGCGGCGGACGGGUGAGUAACACGUGGAUAACCUACCUAUAAGACUGGGAUAACUUCGGGAAACCGGAGCUAGUACCGGAUAAUAUUUUGAACCGCAUGGUUCAAAAGUGAAAGACGGUCUUGCUGUCACUUAUAGAUGGAUCCGCGCUGCAUUAGCUAGUUGGUAAGGUAACGGCUUACCAAGGCAACGAUGCAUAGCCGACCUGAGAGGGUGAUAGGCCACACUGGAACUGAGACACGGUCCAGACUCCUACGGGAGGAAGCAGUAGGGAAUCUUCCGCAAUGGGCGAAAGCCUGACGGAGCAACGCCGCGGGAGUGAUGAAGGUCUUCGGAUCGUAAAACUCUGUUAUAGGGAAGAACAUAUGUGUAAGUAACUGUGCACAUCUUGACGGUACCUAAUCAGAAAGCCACGGCUAACUACGUG
rnacentral:rRNA from 1 species